CCUACGGGUGGCAGCAGUGGGGAAUAUUGGACAAUGGGCGAAAGCCUGAUCCAGCCAUGCCGCGUGUGUGAAGAAGGCCUUCGGGUUGUAAAGCACUUUCAGUGGGGAAGAAAGCCUUGGGGCUAAUACCCUCGAGGAAGGACAUCACCCACAGAAGAAGCACCGGCUAACUCCGUGCCAGCAGCCGCGGUAAUACGGAGGGUGCGAGCGUUAAUCGGAAUUACUGGGCGUAAAGCGCGCGUAGGCGGUCUGAUAAGCCGGUUGUGAAAGCCCCGGGCUCAACCUGGGAACGGCAUCCGGAACUGUCAGGCUAGAGUGCAGGAGAGGAAGGUAGAAUUCCCGGUGUAGCGGUGAAAUGCGUAGAGAUCGGGAGGAAUAUCAGUGGCGAAGGCGGCCUUCUGGACUGACACUGACGCUGAGGUGCGAAAGCGUGGGUAGCAAACAGGAUUAGAUACCCUGGUAGUC
rnacentral:rRNA from 1 species